GACAGAGGGUGCAAACGUUGUUCGGAAUUACUGGGCGUAAAGCGCGUGUAGGCUGCUUGGCAAGUCGGAUGUGAAAGCCCUGGGCUCAACCCAGGAAGUGCAUUCGAAACUGCCGAGCUGGAGUCCUGGAGAGGAAGGCGGAAUUCUCGGUGUAGAGGUGAAAUUCGUAGAUAUCGAGAGGAACACCGGUGGCGAAGGCGGCCUUUUGGACAGUGACUGACGCUGAGACGCGAAGGCGUGGGGAGCGAACGGG
rnacentral:rRNA from 1 species